UGAAUUAGGCUCAGAGAAGUGUUAGUUCAUAUGCUAAACUGAGAUUUCCACCAUUCUUUUUAUCGCAGGUGCUUGGUAGCCAGAUCGAACACAGAUGGCGUACUGCUAAUUCAUUAACAUGAAUUUGUGCUAUUCCUUUGGAUUGAUGGAUAUUCUGUCAAAAUAAUUUACUUUUAGAUCUCUGUAUAGUACUGUACUGCCUAGGCUUAUCUGAACGUAUUCUUAUUAUUACUUAACGGUGGGUUAAGAAACCAACCCUUGUAAGCUUCCCUGCUACUACACUGCUCGUUUUCAAACCUUCAGAAUUUGUAAAUCCUCUCGUAGGGAUGUUCCAAUAUUCUCAUAGGAAUUACUAUUUAAUGAUGUUACUUAAGAAUUAACGUGUUGUGUUUCGACUAGCAAUGCUUGUGCUUUCCCAAGUGAGCUGCUUCAUCCAGUAUGAACACAUGACUGUCCUUAGAUAGUUUAUAUGGUUAAUCUACUGUGUUGUUUCAGUGAGUAUUAUGUUUGUGAAUCUGCAAUUGAGACACCAACUCAUUGUAGGUGCACCUGAGAUAAUGAUAUUAAAUCAUCACACUACUAGGGAAAACCUUUCCCUAGUAGUGGCGCUGGUUUAGAGGCCAGCAGUAGUGCGGGCCCCGCAUUACUGCUAUGACGCUACAGCUAACUUUUAGCAGUAGCGCGGGUUUAACCCCUUGCUACUGCUAAGUCAGUUAUCAAUAGCGUGGGUUUUCGCCCGCGCUACUGCUAAAUAGCAGUAGCUUAUACCUUGGUCAUCCUAUUAAUCCAGCUUGGUCACUUUGGAUCCAUCCACUUGAAUUUAAUACACGUUUCUUUCACCCACUGAUAUAAUAACUCAUCAUCAUCAUAAUAACAACUCAUCAUCAUCAUAGUCAUAUAACAACUCCUCCUCAUCAUCAUAGUCAUAUAACAACUCCUCCUCAUCAUCAUCUAUGAGUCAUAUAACAACUCAUCAUUCUAACACAUUCUAGCACAUAACUCAUCAUCAUCAUAAUAACAACUCCUCCUCAUCAUCAUAGUCAUAAUUAACACUAACUAAUUGUUCUUACUACCUAGGACCUAACUAAUAGUAUAAAACAGGUAAACUGGUCCAUCUUCAAAAUGGAGAAUGAAGAUCCACCUGUCGCCAACUUGUGGCCUGCGCAUAUGCAUGUUGUCUCCAAUCGGUUGCAUGCGCACAUUCAUUAGUUUGCUCCAUUCUUUGAUAUUGAGCCUUGCAUCUUUCAAAGAAAUAGAGCAUGCACUUUGGUAAGCCAUCAGCGGAAACGAUCGUAUGCUAACCAUAUAUAUAUGACCUUCGGUAAGCAUCAUGUCAUGCACAACCUCCUUCGAGAGCUUCUGUUGAACAACAUAAUAGUAACAUAUGUAGUUAGCACUAUAGUUUACUUAAGAAGAAUGUAUGCAAUCAAGUUACUGUUAUUAACAAAAUCAUACCAAGUUUUUGACAAUGAAGUUACCAUUCUGCAACACGUGGACUAGUGGCACGUAUCCACUAAAAUUUGGGUUGAUAAAGUGAUUGGUCUUAAAAGUCUCAACAUCAUCUAUAAAUGAGACAAGAUACCCUUUCUCCUCACAAUUAAGCUCGUAGCCAUAGCUGUAGUAUGUCUUCUCUACAGCCUUCCGAGUAUUUCUUGAAGAUAAGAAAUAAGCUGACAAUUAUAAAUAAACAACUUUAGUAGGUAUGAACGCCAAAUAUUUUUAAAUAAACAAUAUAAAUUACUUAAUAAAUUUGUUUGACAAAACUGGAGGCAUAUCCACAUCCACCAAAAUGUCGAUAUUAUCUUCAAUAUCAUCUUCAGGACGAAUAUCGAAGGUUAUUUGCAUAUUCUCCUCAAAUCCAUAGGCAUUGCAGAGAGCUCCCCAAUUAGAGCAACUGAAAUGUGAGUGAUUAAGCGCAUUGUAGUGAUUAAUCCGAAAAGCAUAACCAUGUUUAGUUCUGAGGUGAGCUCUCAUCGUCUCCAUAUUCUCAAACUCUUGGAAACCAAGCUUCUUCAAGACAUACGGUCUUGCAUGGCAGGGGAUGCACUAGUCGAAUUGAAAGAAAAACGGAAAUUACACGUUGAAGCAAGGAAGCACAAGUCAUGAUUAAUUAUGAAGAAAUACUUAUUGUCGUUGCGUACCGUACAAACAUCGAAGGUCUCUUCCAGCUUGACGGUGAAGAACCUACCAUUUUGCAGGCGAGGCUCCCUGUCGCACAUACCCCGGCCAUCACAGCAGUGUUCGCACUCGGGGAUCCUAUCAUCGUCAGACAUUUCCUGUGUCCAAAAUUCAAAGAUUAUAAAUUGACAACAAUUACCAGGAACUGAACACACAGAUCACUAUUCACCACGGGUUGACUUUCUGUCUAUCGAGUCUUUCCUUGAAAACUCUCAUCUCACGUGGUGUAUAUGGUGGACACUCCCUCUCUAGUAUAUUCGACAGUCGGUGAUGGUCGUUCCUCCCUUCGUUUCCGAGUGUAUUACACCAAAAUGUCUAGCACACGGGAACGAAGAAGAAGCGAUCCCCACGACAAAAGUUGGGAUUCUUCCUCUCUGACAUUUUGCGACUGUCGGUGAUGGUCGCUCCUCCUUUCAUUCAAAAGUGCAUUACACCAAAAUGCCUAGCACUUUCGAAUGAAGAAGAAGCGACCCCCAAGACAACAGUCGGGAUUCUUCCUCUCUCAUAUUUCGACAGUAUAUGGUGGACACUCCCUCACAGAUAUUUUGACCGCUGGUGAUGGUUGCUUCCCCUCCUUCUCUCGUGCAUUACCAAGGUAUAUCACGAGAAGAAGGAAAGGAAACGACCCCCAUGAUAACAGUCAGCAUCCUUCCUUCAAGAGCAGACUGAAAGUCACACAAGGANNNNNNNNNNAUACCAAUGAAUUCAUAUUCAAAAAAAGUUUUUAAUUAUAUAAUUUUUGAUCCCGCCGCAGUCGGUCUCGUGGGUUAAAUUUAUGGUCAAAGUUGAACCUCGAAAAGCGUGGGCGCGCUAUAUUUUGGAACGGAGGGAGUAUUACUUAACGCUGGGGUUUAAGAAACCAACCCUUGUAAGCUUCCCUGCUACUGCUUGUCAUGAUCAAAACACAACAGAUGUUCUGUAUGUGAUCCAUGUCGUUUCAGAACCUUCAGAAUUUAUAAAUCUUCUCAUAGGGAUGUUCUAAUCUUCUCGUAGGGAUGUUCCCAUCUUCUCAUAGGAAUUACUAUUUAAUGAUGUUACUUCAGAAUGAACGCGUUGUGUUUCGACUAGCAAUGCUUGUGCUUUUCCAAGUGAGCUGCUUAGUCCAGUAUGAACACAUGACUAUCCUUCGAUAGUUUAGAUGGUUAAUCUACUGUGUUGUUUCAGUGAGUAUUAUGUUUGUAAAUCUGCAAUUGGGGCACCAACUCAUUGUUUUUUUUAAGCUGACANNNNNNNNNNUGUUUGUGACUGAACCUAGUUCUUAACUGAACCUACAUAACCGUAUCUUGAUGUUUCUCACUGAACCUAGUUAUUAACUGAAUUACUGAACCUAGUUAACUGAAUCUUGUUGCUUGUCACUUAACCUAGGUGUUAACUGAAUCUUGUUGUUUGUCACUGAACCUAGUUGUUAACUGAACCUACUUAACUGAAUAUUGCUGUUUGUCACUGGACCUAGUUGUUAAGUGAACCUACUUAACUGAAUCUUGUUGUUUGUCACUGAAUUUUCAUGCCUUGUUUAACUGAAUUUUAGGGUUUUCAAAUGGUCAAUUAUUCUAGACUUAGUUACCUCACUUAUUGAUAGAUGUUGCUGAAUUAUCCUUGUGUACUGAAUCCAACUGACACUAAAUGCCAGUACUGAAAUUUGCAGGGUAUUCUGUAGUGGGUACAUGAGUUGAAUUUGGUUUGAGUGAUGCAGUGGACAAGUUGACCACAGAAAGAGUGAGUGAAUGUACAUGGGUUUAAGUGUUUGACUAAUGUGAAGUGUCAGUUGGUGUGCUCAACUUAAUGUUCAAAUUGUGUUGAUUAAAGGCAGCAAGUGUACCUAACUAGGAGAGACCUUGCAAUAUUCAUACUUUAUUCAAUCAAACUAUUCAAGCAAGUGUACCUAACUAGGGCUCGGCACCAUCCUGUUUCUUAACUGGAUGGUUAAAAAGACCAUUGGCUUAUUCGUUUUGUUAGCGCGACAUCAGUUCGAGUAAUUUUGAAAUGUUGCCUUCCUUUGAUCCUUUUUGUCAUUUCGUCUGCUUGGUUGUACAAUCUGUGAUCGGUCUUGAAAUAAAUCGAGGAAAUCCUUGAAACCCCUGUUUUCCGGACCAGCAAGAACGAGUUGUCCAGUCAAAUUUCUGAAGCAGUAAGCACACAGUGUGUUCAUGUUAUGCCAAAUCAACACUGAAUUUCAUUCUGCCUGAAUUAGGCUCAGAGAAGUGUUAGUUCAUAUGCUAAACUGAGAUUUCCACCAUUCUUUUUAUCGCAGGUGCUUGGUAGCCAGAUCGAACACAGAUGGCGUACUGCUAAUUCAUUAACAUGAAUUUGUGCUAUUCCUUUGGAUUGAUGGAUAUUCUGUCAAAAUAAUUUACUUUUAGAUCUCUGUAUAGUACUGUACUGCCUAGGCUUAUCUGAACGUAUUCUUAUUAUUACUUAACGGUGGGUUAAGAAACCAACCCUUGUAAGCUUCCCUGCUACUACACUGCUCGUUUUCAAACCUUCAGAAUUUGUAAAUCCUCUCGUAGGGAUGUUCCAAUAUUCUCAUAGGAAUUACUAUUUAAUGAUGUUACUUAAGAAUUAACGUGUUGUGUUUCGACUAGCAAUGCUUGUG
rnacentral:lncRNA from 1 species